rnacentral:misc_RNA from 1 species
GAUGAAGAACGUAGCGAAACGCGAAAGGUAAUGCGAAUUGCAGAAUCAGUGAGUCAUCGAAUCUUUGAACGCACAUUGCGCCUCUAGGUAUUCCUGGAGGCACGCCUGUUCGAGCGCCAUUACACACUCCAAGCUCUGCUUGAUGUUGGACGACCCGAGCGAUCGGACGUCUGGAACGUGUGGGCGUCGGACGUCGGACCGCGAGCGUAGCAAGACCAUAUCAGUCAAGUCGUUCUGUGGAGCCGGCGGACGACCGCCUCUCUUUUUUAACUUACCAUAAGUUUGGCCUCGGAUCAGGCGGGGAUACCCGCUGAACUUAAGCAUAUCAAUAAGCGGAGGA